UAAUGGCUCAUCAAGGCGACGAUCGAUAGCUGUUGUGAGAGGAAGAUCAGCCACACUGGGAGUGAGACACGGCCCAGACUCCUACGGGAGGCAGCAGUUGGGAAUCUUGGACAAUGGGGGAAACCCUGAUCCAGCCAUCCCGCGUGAGUGAUGAAGGCCUUCGGGUUGUAAAACUCUUUCGCGCACGACGAUAAUGACGGUAGUGCGAGAAGAAGCUCCGGCUAACUUCGUGCCAGCAGCCGCGGUAAUACGAAGGGGGCUAGCGUUGUUCGGAAUUACUGGGCGUAAAGCGCGGGCAGGCGGCUAUCCAAGUCAGUGGUGAAAGCCCGGAGCUCAACUCCGGAACUGCCAUUGAAACUGUUUAGCUUGAGGACGAGAGAGGUGAGUGGAAUUCCCAGUGUAGAGGUGAAAUU
rnacentral:rRNA from 1 species